rnacentral:tRNA from 1 species
AGGAAUUUAGGCUAACAAAGACCAAGGGCCUUCAAAGCCCUAAGUAAGUAUAGAUACUUAAUUCCUG